rnacentral:lncRNA from 10 species
AAACAAAUAAACCAAAAUCUAAAAGAGAAAUGGGAAAAAAUGAAAAUUAGGCCUUAGCUAGAAGUCUAUGAAUAGCAACAACUCUUAAAUUCUGUGGUCAAAUGGUCUUCUCACAGCGCGGUGCCCACGCAAUGUCUGUGGCAGGGGGAGAAGAGGUGUGAGGGCACCUGGAAAAUGUACCUUUCCUUCCUCUCCCAAAUCACAUCAAAUCCCCUAAAACAAACACUUCUCAUAGCAAUAUUGGUGAGACAUUGCACGCAUAUUCGUACAUGUGCCAUUUAGAUUUCCAAGUGCAUAAGCAUUCUAUGUUAUCAUUUUUUACGUUUCUGAAAAAAACCUUCCUUAAAGAAGUUGAUUAAUGAAACUAUCCCAAUCCCAAACACUAUUAAUAGCACAGGGUGUUGUUUAGAAAGAUGAUGAAAUUAACACACAAAGAACAGCUACUCAGUACAAAAAUCAGCCUAGCACCAGACAGGAUCUAUGGUAUUACUCUUUUUAAAAAUCAUAUGCAGGAAGUUUCGUCAAACAAGAACUGUAAAAAAUGAGAGCAAUUUGAUUAACUAAUUACAAUGCUUCCAUCAAUCAAAGUGGCUCCACUAAGGUCAUAUACAACUUGGUUGCAUUUAAGGAGAAAGGUCUGCAGUUACACAUUUUCUCUUGUUUACUAACGUAAAAGACUUCAGGUUUUUUAUUAACCCAGGCAGUCGUUGGCAUGAGAGAUUAGUUUUGCAAUUUGAUGAGGUACAUUCCACAGCACGUUAAAUUAGAAUCCCAGAUACUAAAGCCCCAAAUCUAAUUUUCACCCUGGUUUAUAAGGUUCUCUUGAAAAUUCUAUUAUCCUAAUGCAUGCCUCUUAUUCUCUAACUCCUAUAAAAGACCAUGCCAAUUAUAAAGUCAAAAAUAUUCUGAAUUGCCACUGUGGAAUAUUUAAAUUUUUAUAUUUACUGGAUCAUUGAGCUUAGGUACAAAGCUCCAAUCUAUUUACCUAAAAUUGCAGUUCUUAUAAAUUGUAGCAAAAUUCUGGAUCUAACUAUGAAUUCUGUCAAAUAAGGAUUUGAUUGAGCCACUCAAUUUGCCUAAAUAAUAACUACACUUGCUUGUUCUUGGGCAGGUCCUUAAAAAACUAAUCAGUAUAUGGUUCAGAAAGCCAGAGGAUGGAGGGAAAUGGAGAAACAGGGAAGGCAAGAUAACAGAAGGUGAAGGAUGCUGCUUGAUUUCAUUGCACCAGUGUUGACAACAUGACUUUCACUUAUGAAACUGAGCUACGUACGGAUGAGAGUGUGAGCAUUUCCUGUAACUUUCCCCAGGACACUCUUUGCCCAGAUCACCAAAGUGCUUGCUCCCUCAUCUUCUAAGAUAUUUGCUCACGCAUCAAUGUCUCAGGUCUUCCCUGAUCAUCCUAUUUAAACAUCUGUCUGUCUAGAGCCCCCACCUACACCCCACAUCUUUCUUUCCCUGCUUCAUUUGUCUCCAGAGCACUUUUCAACAUCUAACAUUUAUUUUAAUUAUGUAUCUUGUUUACCAUGUAUUUCCUCUUAUUAAAAUGGAAGCCCAGAAAAGCAGAGAUAACCUCGAUUCUAAAUUUCUAGAUUGUGAUUACCUUGUUUGGUUAAUAGGACAUGUUGCUUGAUGUUGCUAAUUAUUGAGCUUUAUGAAAAUGCUAUCAUUCUGUUUGUUGUCUUGUGAGCCUGGCUUUUUAUGCUCAACAUUAUGCUUUUGAGAUUCAGCUUUGUUGAUGGCUGAAGCUAUAGUACAUUCAUUACUUUUCUACUUUUCCAUUCUCUUGUCAACAGCAAUUUUGGUCUUUCCAGUUUUUUGCAAAGCAAGCAGUUCUAUAAUGAAAAAUCUUACAUAUGUCUGCUGGUACACAUGUGAAAGAGUUUUUCUAUGGGUAUAUCCAGGAGUGGAAUUUCUGGUUGCAGGGUAGACAGGUCUUCUUAUUUCCCAAGUGGGCUCUACCAAUUUGAGCUACACAGUAGUAUUUAAAAAGUUUCUGUGGGUACACUGUUUGUCCAAACUUAAUAUUUUCCAGCUUUCCAAUUUUGGUCAAUCUGAUGAAUGUAAUGUGAUAUGUCACUCUGGAUUUAAAAAGCAUUUCUCUAAUUAUUAAUGUAAUCAAGCAUCCUUUCAUAUUUAGUGACCAUUGGGUGUUUUCUGUUCUGUGAAAUUCCUAUUUUUGUGAAAUAUUGUUCAUGUCUUUUUUGCCUGUUCUUCUAUUUAGUUGUCUUUUCCUUACUGAUUUUAGGAGUUCUUUCUAAAUGCUGUCUAUUAAUAUUUUAUCUGUUGUACGUACACAAACAUGUUCUCCUAGUUUGUGGCUUAAUUAUUAUCCUUUCAUCUUUUUCCCCCCUCUCUUCCUUGUCAUACUUUCCCCUGGAAUAUCUAUGGAUUUGGAACAGGAGGAGAACCCAUUCAUGUCAACUUGAUGCGUCACAUUAUGCAGAAAUUCCCAAUAGACACUUCCUUCCUCUUAAAUUUUCCCAUUCCUAGCAUUUUUGAUAGCCUUUCCUAGAUAACUUUUCAAAAACAAAAAAACAAAUUGCUAACCCCUCUGGUGUGCAAAUUAUUCUAUUUCAUUAUUAAAUUGGGGAGUAAAAUAAUUAUUUUUAUUUCUUCCUUUGAGCACCAUUUGGAGUUAAACCAAUUUCCAGUAUUCCUCCAUAACCUUAACUAACUGAACACAAUACAUAAUUUAUAGGUAAUUUGACAGCUGCUAUAAUGCUUAGCACAUUUUAAUGCCAUUUGUUUCUUGGAAUUCUUUGCAUAAAUGAUACUCUAAGAGUCAAAGCUUUCCUUUUGUUCUUAAUUUUUCCUUCCUCUAAGCUUUUAAUUUUGCAUGAAAUUUGACAUUAAAUCUAUAAAGAUUCUUGUUCCAAGAUUAGAUCUAGAUUCUUGGUCAAUGAUAACAUUUGUAAGAACAGGGACUCUGUUGAUUUUGCUCAGCAAUGUGCUCCUGGUACCUAGCAUCUUAUCUGGCACCUAAUAGCUUGCCCAAUAUAUACUUGACUAAUGAUGUAGGUAAAGUAUACAGCACAAAAUUGUCUUUAAGAAUCUUAAAUAUUUACACUCUAGGGACUAAUAUGUCUGUCUCUAGAGAUAUAUUCUAGGAAUGAAAUCAAUCUGAUCAGUGCAGACAUAUUUACCUACAAAGAUGUUCAUGUGAUUGUUAUUUAUAAUAAAGUUUGGAAACGGUGAAUGUUAAAUGAUCAACAAUAAUGAAUUUGUUUAAAUAAUUAUGGAACAUCUACAUAAUAGACUGUCAUAAAGUCAUUAAAACUCACAUUUUCAAAGAAAAUUAGAAACGUAUACAAAACAGUGCUAAGUGAAUAAAACAACAUAGAACUGUAUAUUUAGUAUGAUACUAUUUUGGCAUAUGGCAUAUAGGUGAAGGAAAAACUGGAAAGAAAAAUACUAAUAUUUUUCAGUAGUUGUCUUUGGUUAGUGAGAACUACCACAUCACACGGGUUGGAGGCAUCUUGAAAUCAGUACCAAGCUGUUUCAGCUACGUAUUUCUACAGCUUAGCUCAGUGCUUGUGAAUUGUGGUACUCAACAAUUAAUGAAUUAGAAUAGCACACUUAAAAAUAAUCAGAAUUCUUAAUCCUGCAUGGGCCUUUUCAGUAACUUGUCAUUGGUCAUGUAUUCUAAAACUUCAUGUAUCAGCUCAAGUUUCUGCUUGCAAAACAGGGGGUGGGCCAUGCCCUCCAAGGGCACUCUGGGGACUGGAAAUGGCAGAGGCACCUCAAGGAGUUUUCAUUAUCUCCUUCGAAUGCCUGCGGACUGUGCUGACAAAGUGUGUUGUGGAAUCUGUGCCUUAGCUGCUUGAAUUGAACUCAAUACGCAGCAUCCACAGCAGAGCGUGU